GGGUAUAAAUAGUUUAACAAUUACUGUAUUCCCAAAGCAGGUCCGUAGCCAGACACAAUUUUUUUAAGGCAAAGCUAGUAAUUCAAUAAUUCCACAAUGUAAUUACAAAAAAUAGAGCUAUUUUUGGAUAUUUCUGAAUUGAAAACGAGGUGCGUGCCUCGCUCGCAUCUUGCUAGCCAUGGCCCUGCAAAGGGGAGAUAAAUAGUGGUGGAUAUAUUAUACAAGAAAUGAAGCGUAGAAGUUUAUAUCCUGCUGCCAGUGUUCUCCAACCGUCUUAACAUUUGGUGUGGGUAGUAUACAUGCAUUUACUGUACAUAAUUGUUACUUUCUUAAUAUUUUGUAGGGCUGUUACUUGGAAAAGUCACAUUCUUUUCAGAAGUUUCUUGGGCACAUCAAGCAUGUCAUGGAUCCUGAAGAAGGGAACAUUGGCCCAGAAGUUAUCAAAAGAAAUUCUGGUGGAAACGGCAUCAUAAUCACAGGAAUGGAUACCAUUCAUCAGAAUGUGACUGACCUGCCAAGAUUUCAAGGUGUCUCUUUCACCAUAGCCAAAGAAACAGAUGAAAGUCCUCCCUGAUCACCUAUGUACUGGGGAACUGGUCAGUGGCACGACAGGAAGGCCCGAGUAUGGCAGAAGUGGCAGACCACGACAAUGGUAUUGCCACUCUAGCGAGAAAGUGUUGUGGUGAAGGCGAUUCUGUUCUUUUAUUUCUACCUUCAAUGGCCACCAUCUUGCAAGAGGGACGAAACUGUAUCAUGGUUUCUAUAGAAAGUGAAAAGGAGCUACUACGUAGCAGAGUUUUAGCUGAUUUAGAAAAUUUAGAAGACAAUGUAGAAGACAAUGUA